rnacentral:rRNA from 1 species
UACGGAGGGUGCAAACGUUGCUCGGAAUCACUGGGCGUAAAGCGCACGUAGGCGGCUCGAAAAGUCGGAUGUGAAAGCCCUGGGCUCAACCUAGGAAGUGCAUUCGAAACUGCCGAGCUUGAGUACGGGAGAGGGUUGCGGAAUUCCCGGUGUAGAGGUGAAAUUCGUAGAUAUCGGGAGGAACACCAGUGGCGAAGGCGGCAGCCUGGACCGAUACUGACGCUGAGGUGCGAAAGCAUGGGGAGCGAACAGG